rnacentral:rRNA from 1 species
GACGUAAGGCGCGAGCGUUGUCCGGAUUUAUUGGGCGUAAAGAGCGUGUAGGCGGCCUGGUAGGUCUGCUGUGAAAACUCGAGGCUCAACCUCGAGAUGUCGGCGGAAACCAUCUGGCUAGAGUCCGGAAGAGGAGAGUGGAAUUCCUGGUGUAGCGGUGAAAUGCGCAGAUAUCAGGAAGAACACCUAUGGCGAAGGCAGCUCUCUGGGACGGUACUGACGCUGAGACGCGAAAGCGUGGGGAGCGAACAGG